rnacentral:tRNA from 1 species
GAGGGUAUAGCUCAGUGGUAGAAUGCCUGCCUAGCAUGCAGGAGGUCCCAGGUUCAAUCCCCAGUACCUCCA